UACAGAGGUGGCAAGCGUUGUUCGGAAUUACUGGGCGUAAAGGGCGCGUAGGCGGCCCGUCAAGUCCCGUGUGAAAGCCCCCGGCUCAACCGGGGAACUGCACGGGAAACUAGCAGGCUUGAGUUCGGGAGAGGGAAGCGGAAUUUCGGGUGUAGCGGUGAAAUGCGCAGAUAUCCGAAGGAACACCGGUGGCGAAGGCGGCUUCCUGGACCGACACUGACGCUGAGGCGCGAAAGCGUGGGGAGCAAACAGG
rnacentral:rRNA from 1 species